rnacentral:rRNA from 1 species
AACGAACGCUGGCGGCAGGCCUAACACAUGCAAGUCGAGCGCCCUUUCGGGGGAGCGGCGGACGGGUGAGUAACGCGUGGGAAUAGGCCCUUCUCUACGGAAUAGCCUCGUUAAACUGAGAGUAAUACCGUAUACGCCCUGUGGUGGAAAGGUUUAUCGGGGAAGGAUUAGCCCGCGUUGGAUUAGGUAGUUGGUGGGGUAAUGGCCUACCAAGCCGAGGAGCCAUAGCUGGUGUGAGAGGAUGAUCAGCCACACUGGGACUGAGACACGGCCCAGACUCCUACGGGAGGCAGCAGUGGGGAAUCUUAGACAAUGGCGGCAACCCUGAUCUACCCAUGCCGCGUGAGUGAUGAAGGCCUUAGGGUUGUAAAGCUCUUUCAGCUGGGAAGAUAAUGACGGUACCAGAAGAAGAAGCCCCGGCUAACUCCGUG